GGAAAACACUCAAAGAAGGGUUGAAAAGGUCAGGCAGAAGUCGAGCACUGCAGCCAAGUCGGAAAGGCUGAAGGAGUGAACGCAGAAAAAAAAGAAAACAGGAAGCCGCAGCAUCACAGCGAGGGGACAAGGGCAGUGAGUAAUAGCUGUUCUCCCCUUCCCUCACUCUGUAGUCUUUCUCCACGACCACACUUUUCUCGCCUGUGCUGCGUAGAGGCCGCACGCAUCCCUGCUAAAGGACGAGGAAGAAUGCGACGAGGGUGAGGGCGGAGAAGUCGGAAGAGCUGGGAGAGAGGCGAAGAAACUCACCAGUCUCACGCGCAUACUCGCUUUUUGUUUGUUUAACUUUGAUGAGUGAAGUGUGCAAACGAAGGAGAGGCUGGUAGCAUUCAAGUUCGGCUCAGAUUUUGGCUGUUUGCUGGUGUGUGUUUUUGCUGCCCGCACUCAUCAGCUCAGCAUGGAAGAGAUGAGGCGAAGACUGUCGCUCAUGUUCUGCCUUUUUAUCUCAUUCUAAUGACCAUGCGUUCCCCCACCAGCCCCUCGUGCACAUUCUUAUUCGACCUCUCUCUCUCUCUUGACGCUACAUCUCUGUGUGUGCGGGUGUUCGUGUGCUGGCUGCUCCUUUAUGUCUCCGUCUUGCUAG
rnacentral:misc_RNA from 1 species